CUCCCUGUCGUUCAAUGGAUAGGAUAUCUCCCUCCGAAGGAGGUGAUGCAGGUUCGAUUCCUGCCAGGGAGA
rnacentral:tRNA from 1 species